rnacentral:tRNA from 1 species
GGGCUCGUAGCUCAGCUUGGCAGAGCAUCCGGCUCUUAACCGGACGGUCGCGCGUAGCCUCUCUUUUCUUGUAAGAAAAGAGACCCUAGGGAGAGAAAAGAACUCUUGCUCGAAAGGGAGAAUAGAAAGAACCGUAGGUUCGUCUGGAUCGCGAAUUCGAAAGACGCUUUCUCCAGUCAUUUUUGAAAAGUGUCCGCCACUCGCGCCGAGCCCG